rnacentral:rRNA from 1 species
UACGGGGGGGGCAAGCGUUGUUCGGAAUUACUGGGCGUAAAGGGUUCGUAGGUGGCCAACUAAGUCAGACGUGAAAUCCCUCAGCUUAACUGGGGGAACUGCGUCUGAGACUGGAUGGCUUGAGUGCAGGAGAGGAACGCGGAAGUUCCAGGUGUAGCGGUGAAAUGCGUAGAGAUCCGGAAGAACACCGGUGGCGAAGGCGGCCCGCUGGGCAGGAAGACCUCGUAAGAGGUCGGCUGACACUGAGGCGCGACAGCGUGGGGAGCAACAGGAUAGAUAC